rnacentral:lncRNA from 1 species
GAUUCAGUGACAUUUGACGACGUGAUACAGCACCUCACAAAAGGAGUGGUUGAGACCGGACACCGAGCAGAGGAUAUUGGCAUAUUACAUGAAUGUGACCUCCGUGGGAGUUCCCGUUUUGAAUCCUUCCUGGUGUGAGGACACGUGCUGCUGGUAUCUGCCCCAUCCCUUAAUGCAGAUUGAGCGAAGCAUUCUGGGUAGCAGUGUUUUGUGGUUCUCAUCUCCGAAGGCAUCUUGGUGA